GGGCGAGUGGUGGAAUGGCAGACACGCUAGAUUUAGGAUCUAGUGCCGCAAGGCGUAGGAGUUCGACUCUCCUCUCGCCCACCA
rnacentral:tRNA from 1 species